rnacentral:rRNA from 1 species
UACGUAGGGGGCAAGCGUUGUCCGGAAUCAUUGGGCGUAAAGAGCGCGUAGGCGGCCCGAUAAGUCCGCUGUGAAAGUCAAGGGCUCAACCCCUGAAUGCCGGUGGAUACUGUCGGGCUAGAGUCCGGAAGAGGAGAGUGGAAUUCCUGGUGUAGCGGUGAAAUGCGCAGAUAUCAGGAGGAACACCAGUGGCGAAGGCGGCUCACUGGCCCGGUACUGACGCUGAGGUGCGAAAGCUAGGGGAGCGAACAGG